CACAAGAUUACAUGGUGAAAGUGACGACUGGAAAAAGUUUCCAAUUCCACCUGGUAUAGAAUCGCCAAUGUCCUUCACAUUUGUCGCUGUUGGGAAUGAGUCUGAGCAAGAUCCUAGUUAGGCUGCUUCUACUUCAACAAUUAUUAGCAUAGGAAAGCUUAAGAGUUCUGUUAGGUGUAGGCCUUGGAUACUUGAUGAUCAUGUUGAUCACAUGGAAGAAGAUUCUGGAUGUGAAGCUGAUAAGGCAGGAAAAGAGGAGUGAAUGUUAUAGCUGAUGCUUCUGGUUGGAGAGGAUGAGAUAAACAUAUCUGGUGAGAGAUGCGUGUAGGGAAACUACUUUUGUGCUUUACUGAGGAUUAUUCCUGUUUACCAUAUGCAUCCCUGUGUUUUUUGGAACGAGAAGAACACCAUGGCAUCUGUCAUCGCCGUAGUGACAGAGUUACCUGUUAUCGGCAGGAGGAGGCUGAUAUCCGUGGAAUUAGUCGAGGUGUGCACAAGCUCGCCCGGACACUAUGUUUGUCAAAAAGAACACUAUGUUAACUGACAGGUGAUUGGAAAUAGGAAGAAAUGGAGAAUUUUCUUCAAGAUAUUUAUCGCCAAGUGCGAUAGCAAGGGCAGGACAGGAUGGUAUGUUUAGACCCAGGAGGAAAACACAAAUCUUGCUAUAGAUAUCUGGAUUAUAGAGGAGGAAUAGAACCUAUAUGGAGAAAUAUGUUUGUAAGUCAAGAGGGGGUUUGUAUAAACCUGAAUUGCUGUUGUAUGCGUUAGAAAGAAGGGGAGGUCUCUAAUCUUAUGGUUCUUCGUUAUCGCAAUGCAGCUGAGCUGGAGUCGGUUGUUCCACAUUCAAUGUAUCAUGGGCACUACCCUUGAAAAUCGCAGAUGCCUUUGCAACAUGGAAGUUCAGCACUAGGAAAGAAUGGAAGAAAGUCUGGGAAAUAGCGUCAGUAUACUUUUUUUUUGGAUGACGGAGAGAAAAGAGAUCAGGAGGAAAUCUAAAGGGGUGGAUAGAUAUUUUGGGAGCUAUACAACUGAGCAUUUAUACCUAUUAACCCUGCAUCAUCUUCUUGCACAUUUAUGAAGUUUAUUUUGGAUUUAUCAAUAGAAAGGUUGUAUCAGUUGAUAAGUCUGUGUUCUCUCUUUGCCGCUCACUGUACAGGGGAAGGGCUUAAUGUUGAAUUCUUUUGUUCCUUGUCAAUAAGAAACUAGUAUAUGUAAUAGUAGUUAAUAUGGAAGUGUAUAUAUGGGACUAGCCUUAAAUCUGAAUCGUAGUGUCUAGAGAUGUUGAGCCCUUGUCGCCCAUACUAUUUAGUAACAUUCCGCAAAAGCUUGUAUUAUUAAGUAAGCUCUUCUCUGAUUAUGAAAUGAGAGGUACUAACUAGUCCUAAAUCC